GAUGAACGCUGGCGGCGUGCCUAAUACAUGCAAGUCGAGCGAACGGACGAGAAGCUUGCUUCUCUGAUGUUAGCGGCGGACGGGUGAGUAACACGUGGAUAACCUACCUAUAAGACUGGGAUAACUUCGGGAAACCGGAGCUAAUACCGGAUAAUAUUUUGAACCGCAUGGUUCAAAAGUGAAAGACGGUCUUGCUGUCACUUAUAGAUGGAUCCGCGCUGCAUUAGCUAGUUGGUAAGGUAACGGCUUACCAAGGCAACGAUGCAUAGCCGACCUGAGAGGGUGAUCGGCCACACUGGAACUGAGACACGGUCCAGACGCCUACGGGAGGCAGCAGUAGGGAAUCGUCCGCAAUGGGCGAAAGCAUGACGGAGCAACGCCGCGUGAGUGAUGAAGGUCUUCGGAUCGUAAAACUCUGUUAUUAGGGAAGAACAGAUGUGUAAGUAACUGUGCACAUCUUGACGGUACCUAAUCAGAAAGCCACGGCUAACUACGUG
rnacentral:rRNA from 1 species